CCACAGCGCGGCAGAGGUGACCCUCAGCUAGCGGGACUUGUGGGCGGGCAGGCAUCUGGAAGAGUCACAUCCCCUCAUCCCACAAAUACACUCUAGAUGUCAGUGGAACUGCGCUUCUCCCCCCUGAGCUUGAAUUCCUGGGAACGAGGCUGCCCGGUAGUGGUCACGUGACGCCGGCGUCCGGCGUGUCCUCUCCAGGCAACCGUCCUGGGGACCGAAGACGCCGCUGGCUGCAACAUGGACAUCAUCUGCCCGCUGGCGGUGCCCAAGGGGCGCCGGCUCUGCUGCGAAGUGUGCGAAGCCCCGGCCGAGCGCGUGUGCACGGCCUGCACGGUCACUUAUUACUGUGGUGUGGUUCAUCAAAGAGCUGACUGGGACAGCAUCCAUGAGAAGAUCUGUCAGCUCCUGAUCCCACUGCGCACCACCAUGCCCUUCUACAAUUCAGAGGAAGAGCGGCAGCACGGCCUGCAGCAGCUUCGGCAGCGGCAGAAGCACUUGAUUGAAUUCUGCUACACUGUAGCCCAGAAAUACCUCUUUGAAGGAAAACACGAAGCCGCUGUCCCAGCAGCUUUGCAUUCGCUUCGCUUCCGCAUGAACCUACACGGCCUGAGUUCCGUAGAGCUUGUGCCUGCUUACCUGCUGCUGGCCGAGGCGAGCCUGGGUCUGGGCCAGAUUGUCCAAGCUGAGGAAUACCUAUCCCAAGCCCAGUGGACAGUCCUCAAAUCAACGGAAUGCUCUUAUGCCAUCCAGUCUUUACUGCAUCGGAACCUGGGACUUCUCCACAUAGCUAAGGAAAACUACGAGGAAGCCCGUUAUCAUCUGGCCAAUGAUAUUUAUUUUGCCAGUUGUGCAUUUGGAACAGAGGAUAUCAGGACGUCAGGAGGCUACUUCCACCUGGCUAAUAUCUUCUAUGGCCUUAAAAAGUUGGACGUGGCAGACACAUUGUACACGAAGGUCUCUGAGAUCUGGAGUAAAUACUUGAACAAUCGCUACCAAGUGCUCUCAGAGGCUCGUAUCCAACAGAUAGACUUACUGGGCAAACGAUUUGAGACUGACACCGGCUUGGAUGAAGCCCAGGAAGCAGAAGCCAUUCAGAUCCUGACUUCAGUCUGGAACAUUCGAGAAUCUACAUCCGACACAGCCCCCCAAAAAACUAUCUUUGUUCUGAAUACCCUGGUCAUGCUUUACUACCUGAUGAUGAAUUCUUCAAAGGCACAAGAAUAUGCUGAGAGAGCCUUCGGUCUAGCCAAAGAACACCAUCUCAGUGUCCAUGAACAAAGUACCAUUCAAGAGUUACUAAGUCUUAUCUCAGCUGAAGAAACUCAUCCUGUUACUUAGUGACCCAUGAACUCUGCAUCAGGGGCUAUUCAAGGGGCUAUUGAACGUCUAAUGCAUUUCAGCUUGCACAACUGCUUUGAGGAAGCUUGGAACUACAGUUCCCUGUAUCUCUUUUCUUUAUGAUUCUGGAUUGAACCUAGCCAGUGAGAGACAACUGCACAGGAUUUGGAAACUGGAGGAGAAGGAGAAGCUAUUAAUCUUCCUGAAAAUCACCCAGGUGCUUUCCUGAAAGCAGAUUUUGUGUGAAAGCAGCUUGCUGACCUUUGCUCCCUGCUCUUUAUCACCCGGCUGUUUCAAAGAUCAUUGAAGUCUCUAAUUCCCUGUAUUAAAUAAAGUUCUUCACUCUGAACACCUAGAGGCUUCUGUUUUCCCAGCUAAAACCUGACUGAAAUGCUUGAUGUUUCUUCUUGCAAUCUUUUACUUUCAAACAGUCUGUAUCCUUAUUUUUUAGAUAUAUCUCUUGUAAAAAUAUAGUUGGAUAUUUUUAUAUUGGUGACUGUUAAAGAA